rnacentral:rRNA from 1 species
AUUGAACGCUGGCGGCAGGCCUAACACAUGCAAGUCGAGCGGAUGAAGGGAGCUUGCUCCUGGAUUCAGCGGCGGACGGGUGAGUAAUGCCUAGGAAUCUGCCUGGUAGUGGGGGAUAACGUCCGGAAACGGGCGCUAAUACUGCAUACGUCCUGAGGGAGAAAGUGGGGGAUCUUCGGACCUCACGCUAUCAGAUGAGCCUAGGUCGGAUUAGCUAGUUGGUGGGGUAAAGGCCUACCAAGGCGACGAUCCGUAACUGGUCUGAGAGGAUGAUCAGUCACACUGGAACUGAGACACGGUCCGGACUCCUACGGGAGGCAGCAGUGGGGAAUAUUGGACAAUGGGCGAAAGCCUGAUCCAGCCAUGCCGCGUGUGUGAAGAAGGUCUUCGGAUUGUAAAGCACUUUAAGUUGGGAGGAAGGGCAGUAAGUUAAUACCUUGCUGUUUUGACGUUACCAACAGAAUAAGCACCGGCUAACUUCGUG